rnacentral:rRNA from 1 species
UACGGCGGGUGCGAGCGUUGUCCGGAAUCACUGGGCGUAAAGGGCGCGUAGGCGGCUUGGUAAGGCCGUGGUGAAAGCUCGGGGCUCAACUGCGAGUCGGCCAUGGAUACUCCUAAGCUCGAGCACUGUAGAGGCAGGUGGAAUUCCGGGUGUAGCGGUGGAAUGCGUAGAGAUCCGGAAGAACACCGGUGGCGAAGGCGGCCUGCUGGGCAGUAGCUGACGCUGAGGCGCGACAGCGUGGGGAGCAAACAGG